rnacentral:rRNA from 1 species
GACGAACGCUGGCGGCGUGCUUAACACAUGCAAGUCGAACGGAAAGGCCCUGCUAUUGUGGGCUGCUCGAGUGGCGAACGGGUGAGUAACACGUGAGUAACCUGCCCUUGACUUUGGUAUAACUUCAGGAAACUGGGGCUAAUACCGGAUAGGAGCUCCUGCUGCAUGGUGGGGGUUGGAAAGUUUCGGCGGUUGGGGAUGGACUCGCGGCGUAUCAGCUUGUUGGUGGGGUAGUGGAUUACCAAGGCUUUGACGGGUAGCGGGCCUGAGAGGGUGAGCGGCCACAUUGGGACUGAGAUACGGCCCAGACUCCUACGGGAGGCAGCAGUGGGGAAUAUUGCACAAUGGGCGGAAGCCUGAUGCAGCAACGCCGCGUGCGGGAUGACGGCCUUCGGGUUGUAAACCGCUUUCGCCUGUGACGAAGCGUGAGUGACGGUAAUGGGUAAAGAAGCACCGGCUAACUACGUG